rnacentral:lncRNA from 1 species
AUAGUCCCUGCAAUCACCAAGAAUCUUCUAUCUGUAUCGAAACUGACAGAUGACUAUCCCUGCUCUUUUAUUUUUGACAAACAUGGGGUAUAUCUGAAGGACAAUCACAAUCAUACAACAGUGAAGCUAGGAAGGAAAGUCAAGGGGCUUUACCAGGUGGAACCUAAAGCUGCAGAAGCUUUCUUCAUACAGACUCAACAGGAAGUAGCAGAAGAUAUCUGGCAUCAAAGGCUUGCUCACACCAAUCUUAAAACAAUGAACAUUCUGCAGAAACAAAAUCUCAUUCGGCUUAGUUCCAAAAUUCAGAAUAUAUGUGGUAGCUGUCAAAUUGCUAAAAGCUCAGCUUUAUCUUUUCACUUCUCAGACCAUAUUUCUAAAGUUCCAUUAGAAAGAAUACAUUGUGAUGUAUGGGGACCUUCACCAAUUCAAUCUGUUCAGAAAUUCUCCUACUAUGUCAUUUUUGUGGAUGAUUUUUCUCGGUACAGCUGGAUAUAUCCCAUGAGACAGAAAUCAGAAGUAUAUGAGAUAUUCGUUAUGUUUCAAAGACUUGUAGAAAAUCAGCUUAGUCACAAGAUAAAAAUCUUCCAGAGUGAUGGAGGUGGUGAGUUCACUAGUAAUAAAUUCCAACUUCAUCUACAGAAGUGUGGAAUUCAGCAAUUCAUCUCCUGUCCUCACACACCAGAGCAAAAUGGUGUCUCGGAAAGAAAACAUAGACAUGUAAUCGAAUUAGGAUUAGCAAUGAUGUAUCAUGCUAAAGUACCACUGAAAUAUUGGGUCGAUGCAUUCAAAACAGCAGUUUAUGUUAUCAAUCUUCUUCCCACAGCAAAACUACAUAUGCAUUCACCUCAUUACCAGCUUUACAAUAAGACACCAGACUACUAUUAUCUUCGUGUUUUUGGAUCAGCUUGUUAUCCAUGUCUCAGGCACUAUACAAAGCAUAAAUUUGAUCCAAGAUCUCUCACAUGUAUCUUUCUUGGCUACAGUGAGAAGCACAAAGGAUACAGAUGUCUCUUACCUACAAAUGGAAGAAUCUACAUCAGCAGACAUGUAAUUUUUGAUGAAAAUGUCUUUCCCUUUAUUCAUACACUUAGUACUGAAUAUCAGAAGGGAUCUGAUCUAUACAGACAGUGGAUAAAAGGAGUCCUAUCUUCUAGUUCCAACUCUACUAAGAAG